GUUGAAACUCCUUCAGGGUAGAGUCCAUAUCUGCUACGCUAAGAGUUCUACAGUACAGCGCUAUGUACAAGGAUGUGGCAGCUCAGAAGCCGGUGACCGGCGGUAACGGUGACGGCGGCCGCUUGGUCCAGACCACCAAGGAGGGAUGGGAUCCCCUCACGCUCCCUGCCAGGAGCUGUAGCGAGGGCUCCAGGGACAGGGUCAAAGAGCUGCUGAAACCCCAGGACCUCCCAGAGUGGGAAAUUCUCUUCUCCGGGUAAUAAAAACAAU